AAUUGUUUCAACGCAACCUCAGGAUGAAGUCGUUGAAAUGUGCUCGGAAUGACGAAGCCACUGAUGGCAAAAAAAAUGGUCACUCCCGUGCGCCCGACCGCG
rnacentral:sRNA from 1 species